rnacentral:rRNA from 1 species
CCUACGGGGGGCUGCAGUGGGGAAUAUUGGGCAAUGGGGGCAACCCUGAUCCAGCCAUGCCGCGUGUGUGAAGAAGGCCCUCGGGUUGUAAAGCACUUUCAGUGAGGAAGAACGCCUGGUGGUUAAUACCCAUCAGGAAAGACAUCACUCACAGAAGAAGCACCGGCUAACUCCGUGCCAGCAGCCGCGGUAAUACGGAGGGUGCGAGCGUUAAUCGGAAUUACUGGGCGUAAAGCGCGCGUAGGUGGCUUGAUAAGCCGGUUGUGAAAGCCCCGGGCUCAACCUGGGAACGGCAUCCGGAACUGUCAAGCUAGAGUGCAGGAGAGGAAGGUAGAAUUCCCGGUGUAGCGGUGAAAUGCGUAGAGAUCGGGAGGAAUACCAGUGGCGAAGGCGGCCUUCUGGACUGACACUGACACUGAGGUGCGAAAGCGUGGGUAGCAAACAGGAUUAGAUACCCGAGUAGUC